GUGCUCACUUCAGCAGCAUAUAUACUAAAAUUGGAAUGAUACAGAGAAGAUUAGCACGGCCCCUACACAAGGAUGACACGCAAAUUUGCGAAGCGUUCCAUAUUUAA
ensembl:snRNA U6 U6 spliceosomal RNA